UAGGGAAUCUUCCGCAAUGGACGCAAGUCUGACGGAGCAACGCCGCGUGAGUGAAGACGGAUUUCGGUUCGUAAAACUCUGUUGUUAGAGAAGAACAGCGCAUAGAGUAACUGUUAUGCGUGUGACGGUAUCUAACCAGAAAGCCACGGCUAACUACGUGCCAGCAGCCGCGGUAAUACGUAGGUGGCAAGCGUUGUCCGGAUUUAUUGGGCGUAAAGCGAGCGCAGGCGGUCAAUUAAGUCUGAUGUGAAAGCCCCCGGCUCAACCGGGGAGGGUCAUUGGAAACUGGUUGACUUGAGUGCAGAAGAGGAGAGUGGAAUUCCAUGUGUAGCGGUGAAAUGCGUAGGUAUAUGGAGGAACACCAGUGGCGAAGGCGACUCUCUGGUCUGUAACUGACGCUGAGGCUCGAAAGCGUGGGUAGCAAACAGG
rnacentral:rRNA from 1 species